rnacentral:rRNA from 1 species
CACGUAGGGUGCGAGCGUUGUCCGGAAUCAUUGGGCGUAAAGCGCGCGUAGGCGGCCAGAUAAGUCCGGUGUGAAAGUCACAGGCUCAACCUGUGAAUGCCGCUGGAAACUGUCUGGCUAGAGUCCGGAAGGGGCGAGUGGAAUUCCUGGUGUAGCGGUGAAAUGCGCAGAUAUCAGGAGGAACACCAAUGGCGAAGGCAGCUCGCUGGAACGGUACUGACGCUGAGGCGCGAAAGCGUGGGGAGCGAACAGG